UGAAAGGGUUCCAGGUUGUGUCUGUGGC
rnacentral:piRNA from 1 species